GGAGAGAUGGCUGAGCGGCUGAAGGCGGCGGUCUCGAAAACCGUUAAUCCGGUAUCCCCGGGUUCGGGGGUUCAAAUCCCCCUCUCUCCGCCA
rnacentral:tRNA from 1 species